UGCCAGCCGCCGCGGUAAUACGGGGGGGACGAGUGUUACUCGGAAUGAUUAGGCGUAAAGAGUCCUUUAAGCGGUUUAGCAUGUUAAAGGUUUUCUCAUGAGGGCCCAACCCUCAUGGACUUUUAAAACUUCUAAACUAGAGUUUAUCAGGAGAUAGUAGAAUUCACGAAGGACGAGGGGUAAAAUCCGAUCAUCUCGUGAGGAACAUCAGAGGCGAAGGCGACUAUCUAGGAUAAUACUGACGCUGAGGUGCGAAAGCUAGGGUAGCGAACGGGAUUAGAUA
rnacentral:rRNA from 1 species